UACGUAGGUGGCAAGCGUUGUCCGGAUUUACUGGGCGUAAAGAGCGCGCAGGCGGUCGUUCAAGUCGCGUGUGAAAGCCCCCGGCUCAACUGGGGAGGGUCACGCGAUACUGAUCGACUCGAAGGCAGGAGAGGGUAGUGGAAUUCCUGGUGUAGCAGUGAAAUGCGUAGAUAUCAGGAGGAAUACCGAUGGCGAAGGCAGGUCUCUGGGCUGACACUGACGCUCAUGCACGAAAGCGUGGGGAGCAAACAGG
rnacentral:rRNA from 1 species